rnacentral:tRNA from 1 species
AGCCCCCUAGUAUAGCCUGGUCAAGUAUGCGGGCCUCUGGAGCCUGAGACACCAGUUCGAAUCUGGUGGGGGCUACCA